GGCUGAAAGAUGGCUUAGUGGUUAAGAGCGUUGACUGCUCUUCCAGAGGUCUUGAGUUCAAUUCCCAGCAACCA
rnacentral:tRNA from 1 species